GAUGAACGCUAGCGACAGGCUUAACACAUGCAAGUCGAGGGGCAGCACGAUGCGUAGCAAUACAAAUUGGUGGCGACCGGCGCACGGGUGGGUAACGCGUAUGCAACCUACCUAUCAGAGGGGGAUAGCCCAUUGAAAGAUGGAUUAAUACCGCAUAAAACAGGGGUCCCGCAUGGGAAUAUUUGUUAAAAAUUUAUUGCUGAUAGAUGGGCAUGCGUUCCAUUAGUUAGUUGGUAUGGGUAACGGCCUACCAAGACAUCGAUGGAUAGGGGUUCUGAGAGGAAGGUCCCCCACACUGGUACUGAGACACGGACCAGACUCCUACGGGAGGCAGCAGUGAGGAAUAUUGGUCAAUGGGCGAGAGCCUGAACCAGCCAAGUAGCGUGAGGGAUGACUGCCCUAUGGGUUGUAAACCUCUUUUAUAUGGGAAUAAUAGGUUCUACGUGUAGAAUUUUGCAUGUACCAUUAUGAAUAAGCAUCGGCUAACUCCGUGCCAGCCGCCGCCGUAAGAC
rnacentral:rRNA from 1 species